UUUAAUAAAGUAUUGUUUUCUUUUGUAUAAUAAUUAAAUAAACAUUCAUUUUAGUCGGGUUGAACAUUUUCAGUAGCUAUUGUGUUGCUGGUAUCAAAAGUUAAGCAAUGCCAAUUUGCAUUUUAAUAUUAUUUGCUCUAUUAAUUUUUGCAUACACAUUUGCAUCUAAUAAUAAGGACGAUGAUGAUAAUGAGGGAGGUGAUCCGUUUUAUUUGUGUAUGUUAAGAACAAACGCCACAUACCAGCAAGUAGAUGAAUUCGCAAGAGACGAAGUAAAGAGCAUUAAUUUAGCAGAAAACAAUCACAAUCUAAAAUGUUAUAUCCAAUGUGUGUUACAAAAAUUUAAUUUAGUUAAAGGAUGUACUUUUAUUAAAGGUACAAUACCGUUGUCAGUUGAUGCGAAUGUAAGAGUUCGAAUUAAUAGGGGUUGUUUUGAAUUACUGAAUAACCUUAACGGAAACGAUACUUGUGAAUGUGGAUUCCAGGCUUUGAAAUGUAUUCAAAAUACAUUAUCUAAUAAUUUUAAUUUAUAAAAUUUUACCAAUUAGUAGAUGAUAGUAAAUGGUAUUAUAAAAUUAUUGUUAUUUUAUUGUUUGUGUGUACAUUUCUUUUCUUUUCAAAGAUAUUAUUUCUUUUGAAGAGUUGGUAAAUUUUGAAAUGUAUAUUAUAAAUAUGGAACUAGAUAUUUUUGAAUCAAAAACUUCGAAAGCAACAUAAAGAAGAGCAAUAACAUUAAAAUUGUGAGACUUAAGUAAUUUAAAGUAGCUGUAAAAUUGGUAAUUCAAUUUGCAGGAGUCUUACUUAAAGCCAAAAAUUUUAAAAAGGCAAGAGUUUUGGAGUACUUUUAUGUAACUGUAACCAUAAACCUAUAUUUUUUUUCAGUAAGGUACAAAUUCUAAUGCUACAAGAAACAUUUGUGUGUGUCUAUUAGGAUUGAUAUUAAUGCAAAUAUUAAUGAAAUAUAAGGUUUAAAUGAA